UGAACAAAUCCUGACAACAAAGCCUGGUGGUGAGCAUAUUAUGCAAGAGUAUGCAAGAACUAAAUGCUUGACAGAUGCAACCAGAAGACAGAUGAUAAACAUCCUUAGAGCUGCAAUGACAGAAGCACAUGGGAGCAUUAGUAUGAUCCAGAGAGCGGUUCAGGAUACCUUGCAUGGCGUUUAAAGACCAUUCAAAGAAAAACCUCAGAGGAAAAGGUUGCCUCAAGUAGAACAUCUCCCAAAAGUGGUGGACCAGGCCAGGGUCAAUCCAGGGUUUUCACUGCUGACAAAGUGCUGUCAGAUGAGGAAGUGGAAGCAGCUAUAGCUGUUUUGAAACACUCUGCUGAUGAUGACACUGUCCGUGAGAAGAUGAAGGCUACCUUCCAUUACCGUCAUUCAAUGGUCAGUGAUGAAAAGAAAGCAUUGAACGUCUUCUCUGUCUUUCCACGAUUUCUGGACACACCCGGACUGAAAAUCCCAAAUGUGUGCCAAUUAGUCUGCUGGAUCCUGAGUUUGCAAUGAGCUCAAACGUGAUGCUGCGUUGCGGACUUCAAAGGAAUCACCUGCUGAUUGACCCCUAAACACGACAUCAGUGUUGACUUGGAGGACAUCUGAAUGCGUCUCUGUUCGUUUUAUGACAGAAGAGUCAAACAUGUGAAGAUUGGCCACUCGGCGAAGCACUUUCAUGUAUAAGUUUCCCCGUUCUUGACAUCAUCUUCCUCGUCCUCCUCCAAAAUCAUCUUGAUUUAGAAGUGCUAAUGGACGCCCUCUCUCCUCUUGCUCUUUCACUCUUCAUCUAUUAGCAUUAUGCUAAGCCUGGAAAUGGAUCUAAAUUAUCCCAUUCACCACAAGAGUUGAAACACUCUGCAGCAUUUCUCCUCAGUCAGAGAGCCUCUGUUGUACUGUGCAACAUUUAUGCAAAGAACCCAAUCUGACAUCUGCAAUUAAUAAUGCAUUCUCCAUAUGUAAUGGAAGUGAUUAAUUAUAAAAACCCUCUUUUAAUCUUCCAAA